rnacentral:rRNA from 1 species
AGGGAAUCUUCGGCAAUGGGGGCAACCCUGACCGAGCAACGCCGCGUGAGUGAAGAAGGUUUUCGGAUCGUAAAGCUCUGUUGUAAGUCAAGAACGGGUGUGAGAGUGGAAAGUUCACACUGUGACGGUAGCUUACCAGAAAGGGACGGCUAACUACGUGCCAGCAGCCGCGGUAAUACGUAGGUCCCGAGCGUUGUCCGGAUUUAUUGGGCGUAAAGCGAGCGCAGGCGGUUUGAUAAGUCUGAAGUUAAAGGCUGUGGCUCAACCAUAGUUCGCUUUGGAAACUGUCAAACUUGAGUGCAGAAGGGGAGAGUGGAAUUCCAUGUGUAGCGGUGAAAUGCGUAGAUAUAUGGAGGAACACCGGUGGCGAAAGCGGCUCUCUGGUCUGUAACUGACGCUGAGGCUCGAAAGCGUGGGGAGCGAACAGGAUUAGAUACCCUGGUAGUCCACGCCGUAAACGAUGAGUGCUAGGUGUUGGAUCCUUUCCGGGAUUCAGUGCCGCAGCUAACGCAUUAAGCACUCCGCCUGGGGAGUACGACCGCAAGGUUGAAACUCAAAGGAAUUGACGGGGGCCCGCACAAGCGGUGGAGCAUGUGGUUUAAUUCGAAGCAACGCGAAGAACCUUACCAGGUCUUGACAUCCCGAUGCUAUUUCUAGAGAUAGAAAGUUACUUCGGUACAUCGGUGACAGGUGGUGCAUGGUUGCCGUCAGCUCGUGUCGUGAGAUGUUGGGUUAAGUCCCGCAACGAGCGCAACCCCUAUUGUUAGUUGCCAUCAUUCAGUUGGGCACUCUAGCAAGACUGCCGGUAAUAAACCGGAGGAAGGUGGGGAUGACGUCAAAUCAUCAUGCCCCUUAUGACCUGGGCUACACACGUGCUACAAUGGUUGGUACAACGAGUUGCGAGUCGGUGACGACGAGCUAAUCUCUUAAAGCCAAUCUCAGUUCGGAUUGUAGGCUGCAACUCGCCUACAUGAAGUCGGAAUCGCUAGUAAUCGCGGAUCAGCACGCCGCGGUGAAUACGUUCCCG